rnacentral:rRNA from 1 species
GACGAACGCUGGCGGCGUGCUUAACACAUGCAAGUCGAACGGAAACGCCCUGCUUGUUGGGUAUUCGAGUGGCCAACGGGUGGGUAACUAAUGGGUGAGCUGCUCUCCACAUCUGGAUAAGCCUUGGCAACAGGGGCUAAUACCGGCUAGGAGCCUCUUCUAGUGAAAGGGUUGGAACGCUUUUUCGGUGUAGGAUGAGCGCGCGGCCUAUUAGCUUGUUGGUGGGGUAAUGGCCUACCAAGCCGGCGACGGGCAGCCGGCCUGAGUGGGUGGACGGCCACAGUGGGACUGGGAUUCGGCCCAGACUCCGACUGGAAGGAGAAGUGGGAGAGAUGGAUCUAGGGGCAUGAGCCUGAUGCAGAGAGGCCGCGGGGGGGAGAACGGCCAUGGGGUUGUAAAUGCAAUUCGCUUUUAAAGGAGCUGUUUAUGACGGUACCUAAAGAAUAAGCACCGGCUAACUACGUG